GUGUGGUUGGCCGAAUAUUGUAAGGGGUUAAUACAUAGUUUGUAUUUGAAUAGUUAGAUUAACGUGUUAGUAAUCCAAUUGUAGGCGGUUCGUGUGUGGAUCUCGUCAGCAUAUCGUCGCAAACAGGAAAUCCCCAACCAUAGUGGGCUUGGAGUUGUGAGGGAAUUCGGAGUGGCCACACGUUCUGAAAGUUUGAUUUUCUUUUGGUGAACUAGACAUCCUUUUAUUUACGUUUGAAGUUUUAGGUUUUUAAAUGUAAUAAGGCCGCUUAAUUAUUUUUGAUGGUUUUAAUAUGUAUUACUAAGAUAGGUAUUACUUUUUUUAACUGUUGAAAUUGGAUAGCUUUAGGGCGCGUUUUCAAAAACAACAAUUGAUUUCAAAAUAACACGACAACAAGCAAAGCUUCCGCAAUGAAA